ACCCUCAGAAGGUUCAGUUCGUACUGCUGUAGGACCCUUGACCGAGUACUUUCUCUGAACUGCUGUAUAAACUGGGGGGGGGGGAAUCAUUACCAAAGGAGUAGGGCAAAUGGAAAAGUGUUCAGGAGAGUUUAAGGAGAUCGUCACUACUACAGCGCGUGUACCGAACCAACACUCUCUCUUGUCCGCAUUUCCGUACGUACACAGAAAACACAGCCAUCUCUGUGAAAUGUCUCAUUGUUGCGCGUUACCGCCGUGAAAACGCACCACGGCAUUUACACUGUUUAAGUGUUGUAGCGAAUGCCUCGCGUUGCCGGUCGACCCCCGGCUCCUUGGCUUGCUUGGGAAGAUGGCUGCUGCUGCUGGAGCUGCGCGGGAGCUGGGCUCGCCGCGUGCGGGGCGCUCCGUCCACCUUUCGCAUUCUGGGGAACUCCUCCCAUGCAACAUAUAUUCGUUUUACCACAAAAUGAGGGAAAAGGCUUCACAUGAGCACUGAAAUGGUGCGUUGUGCUGUACGCCGUUACUGCGGUUGAGAUAAAACUUAGUCUAGAGGAGCUGUGGGGCCUCUGCUCGAAUGGUACGAGCGAACUGUGCGCUCGGCCACUCGCUUCCCAUUUGUACCAAACAUGGCACCGCGAGCGCCUUCUGGGGCGCUGGGAGCCGCGAGUGAGCCGUGUACAGCCUUGCCAAGGAGACCACCACCAGUCCGACUGUAAGAAAAGUAAGGGACCCAGUAGGACCGCGAACCACCAUGAUGCUUUCGGCUGGAAGGAAGAAAACUGGAGUCUGGAGGCACUUCUGGUACGAUGAGCGGACGAGGAAAACAACCUGCAGAAUAUUGCCGAGAGGAAAAGAAACGGAAUGCGGAUACAGUCUGAGUGGAAAAAAUACGACCAAUCUGAAGCGGCAUUUGAGGCAACGGCACCCAGAUAUUGCUGAAGAGCUCAUUUUUGAUGUCCGCGAGUGUCCAUGUUGAGACAGCAUUACGACGACUGCACAUGAUUAUAGGAUAAAUUGGUUGAUGGUAACAACUGAAGUUUGUGUGAAGUACGUAUUUUUAUUUUG
rnacentral:lncRNA from 1 species